AGCGGCCGAUAUCUGAUUAGCUAGUUGGUGGGGUAAAAGCCUACCAAGGCGACGAUCAGUAGCUGGUCUGAGAGGACGACCAGCCACACUGGGACUGAGACACGGCCCAGACUCCUACGGGAGGCAGCAGUGGGGAAUUUUGGACAAUGGGGGAAACCCUGAUCCAGCAAUGCCGCGUGAGUGAAGAAGGCCUUCGGGUUGUAAAGCUCUUUUGUCAGGGAAGAAACGGUUCUGGAUAAUACCCGGAACUAAUGACGGUACCUGAAGAAUAAGCACCGGCUAACUACGUGCCAGCAGCCGCGGUAAUACGUAGGGUGCAAGCGUUAAUCGGAAUUACUGGGCGUAAAGCGUGCGCAGGCGGUUGUGCGAGACAGAUGUGAAAUCCCCGGGCUUAACCUGGGAACUGCAUUUGUGACUGCACGGCUAGAGUGUGUCAGAGGGGGGUAGAAUUCCACGUGUAGCAGUGAAAUGCGUAGAUAUGUGGAGGAAUACCGAUGGCGAAGGCAGCCCCCUGGGAUAACACUGACGCUCAUGCACGAAAGCGUGGGGAGAAAACAGGAUUAGAUACCCUGGUAGUCCACGCCCUAAACGAUGUCAACUAGUUGUCGGGUCUUAAUUGACUUGGUAACGCAGCUAACGCGUGAAGUUGACCGCCUGGGGAGUACGGUCGCAAGAUUAAAACUCAAAGGAAUUGACGGGGACCCGCACAAGCGGUGGAUGA
rnacentral:rRNA from 1 species